rnacentral:rRNA from 1 species
UCCGUUUGAUCCUGGCGGAGGUUACUGCUAUCGAGGUUCGACUAAGCCAUGCGAGUCGAAUGUAGCAAUACAUGGCGUACUGCUCAGUAACACGUGGACAACCUACCCUCCGGACGGGGAUAAACCCGGGAAACUGGGUAUAAUACCCGAUAGAUCUCGACUGCUGGAAUGCAUCGAGAUCGAAAGCUCCGGCGCCAGAGGAUGGGUCUGCGGCCUAUCAGGUAGUAGUGGGUGUAGCGUACCUACUAGCCUACGACGGGUACGGGUUGUGAGAGCAAGAGCCCGGAGAUGGAUUCUGAGACACGAAUCCAGGCCCUACGGGGUGCAGCAGGCGCGAAAACUUUACAAUGCCGGCAACGGCGAUAAGGGGACCUCGAGUGCCAGGUUACAAAUCUGGCUGUCGUGAUGCCUAAAAAGCAUUGCAUAGCGAGGGCCGGGCAAGACCGGUGCCAGCCGCCGCGGUAACACCGGCGGCUCGAGCGGUAACCGUUAUUAUUGGGUCUAAAGGGUCUGUAGCCGGCCGGAUAAGUCUCUUGGGAAAUCCAGCAGCUCAACUGUUGGGCUUUCAGGAGAUACUGUCUGGCUCGAGGCCGGGAGAGGUGAGAGGUACUUCAGGGGUAGGGGUGAAAUCUUGUAAUCCUUGAAGGACCACCAGUGGCGAAGGCGUCUCACCAGAACGGACCUGACGGCAAGGGAC